GGGGCCUACGGGAGGCAGCAGUGGGGAAUUUUGGACAAUGGGGGAAACCCUGAUCCAGCCAUCCCGCGUGAGUGAAGAAGGCCUUCGGGUUGUAAAGCUCUUUUGUCAGGGAAGAAACACCGGCUCUAACACAGUCCGGGAAUGACGGUACCUGAAGAAUAAGCACCGGCUAACUACGUGCCAGCAGCCGCGGUAAUACGUAGGGUGCAAGCGUUGAUCGGAAUUACUGGGCGUAAAGCGUGCGCAGGCGGUUAUACAAGACAGGCGUGAAAUCCCCGGGCUUAACCUGGGAAUGGCGCCUGUGACUGUAUGGCUAGAGUGUGUCAGAGGGGGGUAGAAUUCCACGUGUAGCAGUGAAAUGCGUAGAUAUGUGGAGGAAUACCAAUGGCGAAGGCAGCCCCCUGAGAUAACACUGACGCUCAUGCACGAAAGCGUGGGGAGCAAACAGGAUUAGAUACCCUGGUAGUCCACGCCCUAAACGAUGCUGACUAGUUGUUCGGGAUUUACAUCCUGAGUAACGUAGCUAACGCGUGAAGUCAGCCGCCUGGGGAGUACGGUCGCAAGAUUAAAACUCAAAGGAAUUGACGGGG
rnacentral:rRNA from 1 species